CAAUAGCGUAUAUUAAUGUUGUUGCAGUUAAAAAGCUCGUAGUUGGAUUUCUGGUGGAAGCGACCGGUCCGCCCCUCACGGGGUGUGCACUAGCGUCUGUCUUUUGCCAUCCUUGCGAAGAAGCGGUGUGGCAUUAAGUUGUCGCGCCGUCUGACUCGCAUCGUUUACUGUGAAAAAAUUAGAGUGUUUAAAGCAGGCAAUUGCUGUGAAUACAUUAGCAUGGAAUAAUAAGAUAGGACUUUGGUACUAUUUUGUUGGUUUGCAUAUCAAAGUAAUGAUUAACAGGGACAGUUGGGGGUAUUCGUAUUUCGUUGUCAGAGGUGAAAUUCUUGGAUUUAUGAAAGACGAACUACUGCGAAANCANNNACCAAGGAUGUUUUCAUNAA
rnacentral:rRNA from 1 species